GUCCAUAUCUCAGAUACUACAAGCAAUAGGGCUAGUAUAUUCGUCGUAUGGAAGGACUGUAAGGUGUACAUCUCCAACUGGCAGGUGUCAUCUGACCUUGACCUCAUUUUCAUGGUUCAGUGGUUAUAGUUAAAUUUUUGUGUUUUGGUCUGUUUUUCUCAUACUAUAUGCAAUAGGUCUACUAUAUUUAUUGUAUGGAAUGAUUGUAAGGUGUACCUAUCUAGCGGGCAGAUGUCAUGUGACCUUGACCUCAUUUUCAUGGUUCAGUGGUCAAAGUUAAGUUUUUGAGUUUUGGUCUUUUUAUCUAAAACUAUAUGCCAUAGGACAUCUAUAUUUGGUGUAUGGAAAUAUUUUAUGAUCUUUAUGUCAGUCGCGCAGGUUUUAUUUGACCAUGACCUCAUUUUCACGGUUCAUUGCACAGUGUUAAGUUUUUGUGUUUUGGUCUAUUUUCUUAAACUAUAAGUAAUAGG
rnacentral:lncRNA from 1 species